rnacentral:rRNA from 1 species
ACGACCGGCGCACGGGUGAGUAACACGUAUGCAACCUACCUAUUACAGGGGGAUAGCCCGUUGAAAGACGGAUUAAUACCGCAUAAUACAUAUUCUUCGCAUGAUGGAUAUGUUAAAGAUUAUUGGUAAUAGAUGGGCAUGCGUUUCAUUAGCUAGUUGGUAGGGUAACGGCUUACCAAGGCAACGAUGAAUAGGGGAACUGAGAGGUUUAUCCCCCACACUGGUACUGAGACACGGACCAG